rnacentral:rRNA from 1 species
UGGUACGCGAGCUGGGUUUAGAACGUCGUGAGACAGUUCGGUCCCUAUCUGCCGUGGGCGCUGGAGAACUGAGGGGGGCUGCUCCUAGUACGAGAGGACCGGAGUGGACGCAUCACUGGUGUUCGGGUUGUCAUGCCAAUGGCACUGCCCGGUAGCUAAAUGCGGAAGAGAUAAGUGCUGAAAGCAUCUAAGCACGAAACUUGCCCCGAGAUGAGUUCUCCCUGACCCUUUAAGGGUCCUGAAGGAACGUUGAAGACGACGACGUUGAUAGGCCGGGUGUGUAAGCGCAGCGAUGCGUUGAGCUAACCGGUACUAAUGAACCGUGAGGCUUAACCUUACAACGCCGAAGCUGUU